AUACGUAGGGGGCGAGCGUUGUUCGGAAUCAUUGGGCGUAAAGGGCGCGCAGGCGGCGAGGCAAGUCCGGUGUGAAAGUGCUCGGCUCAACCGAGUGAUGCGCUGGAAACUGCCCUGCUUGAGUACAGGAGGGGACGUCGGAAUUCCAGGUGUAGGGGUGAAAUCUGUAGAUAUCUGGAAGAACACCGGUGGCGAAGGCGGACGUCUGGCCAUGUACUGACGCUGAGGCGCGAAGGUGCGGGGAGCGAACAGGUUUAGAUACCCUGGUAGUCCGCACAGUAAACGAUGUGCACCAGGUGGCGGGGGGUCGACCCCCGGUACCGUAGCUAACGCAUUAAGUGCACCGCCUGGGGAGUAUGCUCGCAAGGGUGAAACUUAAAGGAAUUGGCGGGG
rnacentral:rRNA from 1 species